rnacentral:rRNA from 1 species
CACGUAGGGCGCGAGCGUUGUCCGGAAUUAUUGGGCGUAAAGAGCUCGUAGGCGGUGUGUCGCGUCGGCCGUGAAAACCUGCAGCUUAACUGUGGGCGUGCGGUCGAUACGGGCAUCACUGGAGUUCGGCAGGGGAGACUGGAAUUCCUGGUGUAGCGGUGAAAUGCGCAGAUAUCAGGAGGAACACCGGUGGCGAAGGCGGGUCUCUGGGCCGAUACUGACGCUGAGGUGCGAAAGCGUGGGGAGCGAACAGG